rnacentral:piRNA from 1 species
UAUAUCGGUACUGCGGGACUUGUGGUCAA